GAUGAAGAACGUAGCGAAAUGCGAUAAGUAAUGUGAAUUGCAGAAUUCAGUGAAUCAUCGAAUCUUUGAACGCACAUUGCGCCCUCUGGUAUUCCGGGGGGCAUGCCUGUUCGAGCGUCAUUAUAACCACUCAAGCUCUCGCUUGGUAUUGGGGCUCGCGGUUCCGCGGCCCCUGAAAUCAGUGGCGGUGCCUGUCGGCUCUACGCGUAGUAAUACUCCUCGCGAUUGAGUCCGGUAGGUCUACUUGCCAGCAACCCCCAAUUUUUACAGGUUGACCUCGGAUCAGGUAGGGAUACCCGCUGAACUUAAGCAUAUCAAUAAGCGGAGGA
rnacentral:misc_RNA from 1 species